GAGGAGUUCAACUUUUUAAAACAGAUUCUGCACAAAUAUGAAGCUUGUUCAGGCCAAAAAGUUAAUUUUUCUAAAUCCACAAUUUUUUUCAACAGUAAUUCACAAGAAGAAGAAAGACAAACAGUUACUCGAGUUCUUGGAGUGCAAAGGUCAGAUGAAAUGGAAAGAUAUCUAGGGCUACCAAAUUUGGUAGGAAGAAGCAAAAAGGCGGCGUUUCAGAUUUUGAAAGAUAGGUUCAAACAACGAAUUGAUAAUUGGAGCAUCAAAUAUCUUUCACAAUGAGGUAAGGAAAUUUUCACCAAAGCCGUUUUACAAUCUAUACCAACCUAUGCAAUGUCUUGCUUUUUACUUCCUAAAUCUUUAUGUAUGGAGUUAGAGGGAAUUAUUGCAAAAUUUUGGUGGCAGAAAAAUAAAAGAAAAAAGGGGAUCCAUUGAUGUGUAUGGAAAGAUGUUUGCUUACCAAAAGAUUCGGGUGGUUUAGGUUUUAGAAGGUUAAAUAAGUUUAAUUUUGCGCUAUUAGCUAAACAGGGUUGGCGCCUUAUUAAUUAUCCGAGUUCUUUGUUAGCCUAAGUUUUAAAAGCUAAAUAUUUUCCUAGAACGAAUUUUUUAAAUCCUUCUUUGGGUAACCUACCUUCACUCACCUGGAGGAGUAUUUGGUCAACAAAAAAACUUUUGUUGGAUGGCUUAUGCUGGAGGGUUGGAGUAGGAGACAGUAUAUCAAUCUGGAAUGACCGCUAGAUACCGGGAAUAACAGAAGACAAGAUACAGAAUAAUAACAGCAAUGAGGAAUUAAGGUUAGUGUCCGACUUAAUCAAUAAAGAAAGCAGAACAUGGAAUAGAGAGUUGAUUGUCCGUACCUUUAAUACGGAUAUUACGAAGAAGAUAAUGCAGAUUCCGCUUUCAAAGUCAAGCCAAGAAAACAUUCAAGUCUGGAGAGGGGAGGUGACUGGAGUCUUUUCAGUAAGGAGCGCCUAUAAACUAUUACAGGAGUCUACUACAGAUUUUAAUGCUUAUUUACAGAUCCAUACAAAUAAUUUUUUCAGGAAAUUAUGGAAUCUAGAUCUGUCUUCAAAAAUUAAGAUUACAGUAUGGAAAAUUACGGGGAACUACAUUCCAACUUUCUCCAAUCUAAAACUGAGAAGAGUAAUGACUGAUGAUCGAUGUUUGAAGUGUGGACAGGAAGCAGAAGAUAGCAACCAUGUCUUUUAAAGGUGUCCUAUAGCGAAAGAAGUAUGGAGUCAGUUGAAUUUUUCAUGGGUAUUUAAUAACAGUAAUUUCGAUCUCUGGAGUUGGCUUACCUGGGUUUUCAGCGAAGGAACAAAUGAACAGUGUCGAGGAUUCUGUUGUGGGCUAUGGAUAAUCUGGACAAGCAGAAAUAAAUUUCUUUAUGAAGGUAAAAUCAGUACCAGUUGGGACAUAUCCAAGCAAAUAAAAAAGCUAUAUUCUUGAGCUGGAAGGUAUUAGAGAAAGGGAACUCACCUUAGUAACCAGUACAAAGUCUAGGCAGAGGCUACAAAGAGAGAAUACGGCCAUCUUCUUCGAUGCGACUUUUGACUCAAAGCAUAACAGAUCUACGUCAGGCCUAGUUGUCAAGGACCAGGAGGGUAAAAUCGUGGUUGCAAAGUCAAUCCUUCAUGAAAAUGUUGCAUCUCCAUUUGGGGUGGAAGCAUAUGCAGGAUAUCAAGCAACAAUGUUAGGGAUUCAACUGCGAUAUCUUAAUGUGGAUAUACUAGGAGAUUCAAAAACAGUUACAACCAAAUGCCAAAGUGAAAAUCGCGACAGAUCAGAAAUAGGAGCAAUCAUCAGUGAUAUUCAAGGAUUAAAAGGUUUCUUUCAAAAAAUCAGUUUCUUCUUCAUACCAAGGACUGGAAAUAUUGAAGCAUACAGAAUAGCAAAAGAAACACUCAUGAAGGGGAAGGAACUAUACCUGGAAGGAGAGACCUUACGAGCAUUAUGCGAGGAGCAGGAAUCAACUCGUCUGGGCUAUUCGGAGCAAAGGGAAAGAAGAUAAGAUUUUGAUUUUGGCAAGAGUGGGUGUCGAUUGAAAUGAAAGAAGA
rnacentral:lncRNA from 1 species